rnacentral:rRNA from 1 species
GAGUUUGAUCAUGGCUCAGGAUGAACGCUAGCGGCAGGCUUAACACAUGCAAGUCGAGGGGUAGUUACUUUCGGGUAAUGAGACCGGCGCACGGGUGCGUAACGCGUAUGCAAUCUACCUUUUACAGGGGAAUAGCCCAGAGAAAUUUGGAUUAAUGCCCCAUGGUAUUAUAGAGUGGCAUCACUUUAUAAUUAAAGUUCCAACGGUAAAAGAUGAGCAUGCGUCCCAUUAGUUAGUUGGUAAGGUAACGGCUUACCAAGACGAUGAUGGGUAGGGGUCCUGAGAGGGAGAUCCCCCACACUGGUACUGAGACACGGACCAGACUCCUACGGGAG